rnacentral:rRNA from 1 species
UACGAAGGACCCGAGCGUUAUCCGGAUUUAUUGGGUUUAAAGAGUGCGUAGGCGGGUUAUUAAGUCAGUGGUGAAAGCCUACAGCUUAACUGUAGAAUUGCCAUUGAUACUGAUAAUCUUGAGUAUGAUUGAGGUGGGCGGAAUGUGUCAUGUAGCGGUGAAAUGCUUAGAUAUGACACAGAACACCGAUUGCGAAGGCAGCUCACUAAGCCAUAACUGACGCUGAUGCACGAAAGCGUGGGGAGCAAACAGG